GCGUCGUACAAAUCAGAUGAAGAAAAAUGAUGAAUAGUUGCGUGUGAGAUUGUCUAUAUUUUGGCGCUUGCUCCUCUUAUUUUUCGCGUCCAAAAGCGUCGCUCUCCCUCAAUCCUUCAUUCUCCUUACUAGUUUUCUGCUCCUCUGUUUCUGCAGAAGAUUUCUACUUAUCGUUUUCUCUUUAUUAUUUCUCACUUUGAGCGCAUUAAAUUUCUCUUGUUUGUUAUAUAAUAUAUUAAUAGCUGAAACCAUGAUUCAGAGGGCUUCAUGCUUACACAAUUUGGUUCAAUCUUUACGUCUUGGUUCUUUAUCUCAGCUUGGAUCUUAUAUUUGCUACUCGUCACAAGCUGCAUCUUCUCUACAACAAGUGAGCAAACCCUGUGCUGAUGGUGAGAAUGAGUACGCUAAUAUGGAUUGGGAUAAUCUUGGAUUUGGUAUCAUGCCAGCGGAUUACAUGUACACAACGAAAUGUUCUAAAGAUGGAAGUUUUGAACAAGGACGACAUAGUCGCUAUGGAAAUGUUGAAUUAAGCCCAUCUGCAGGAGUCCUGAAUUACGGGCAGGGAUUGUAUGAAGGCACGAAAGCAUAUAGAAAAGAAGAUGGUCGUUUACUUCUUUUUCGUCCAGAUCAAAAUGCCAUCCGCAUGAGGAUGGGUGCUGAUAGACUGUGCAUGCCUUGUCCCUCCAUUGAUCAAUUCGUUGAUGCAGUGAAAGGAGUUGCUCUAGCCAACAAGCGUUGGGUUCCUCCUCCAGGGAAAGGAACUUUGUAUAUUAGACCUUUGCUAAUGGGUAGUGGUCCUGUCUUGGGUUUGGCACCCGCACCUGAAUACACGUUCCUCGUAUAUGCUUCUCCUGUGGGCAACUAUUUCAAGGAGGGCUUGGCACCCUUGAGCGUAUAUAUUGAAGAGGAAUUUCAUCGUGCCUCUCGCGGAGGAGCUGGUGGUGUUAAGUCCAUCACGAAUUAUGCACCUGUAAGGAAUGUUUCUAACACAACUGGUUGUAGACUAGCUAAACUAUGCGUUGGUUAAUGGUCAGAAAUGCAAUUUUUGGUUCAUUUGGCUCUAUUGAAGCUAACAAGAGCUUAUAGCUCUAGAGACGAUUAUGGAGCUAAAGCUUAUUGGUAGCAAAUGCAACUUUUACGGACCCAAGUUUUCGUUGACUACUAUGGCAGUAGCUCAUAAUUUUUCCCCUUAUACGCAGGUUCUGAAAGCAAUAGCCAGAGCUAAAAGCAGAGGAUUUUCCGAUGUUCUGUACCUGGACUCAGUGAAUAAAAAAUAUCUGGAAGAAGUCUCUUCUUGCAACAUUUUCCUUGUGAAGGUAUUCUGAUAAAUUGUCUGAUGUGAAAUAUUCAUUUGGAUUUCUGGAACUUUACUAUUGGAUGUUCCUUCAAUCUUUCCAGGACAAUGUAAUUUCCACUCCAGCUGCUAAUGGGACUAUCCUGCAAGGUGUCACUAGAAGAAGCGUGAUUGAAAUUGCUCGUGAUCAUGGUUAUCAGGUUGAGGAACGUGCAAUUCCAGUAGACGAAUUGGUGGAUGCUGAUGAAGUCUUUUGCACUGGAACUGCAGUUGGUGUUGCUCCAGUAGGCAGUAUCACAUAUCAGAAUAGAAGAGUUGAAUACAAAAUCAGAGCUGAAUCCGUGACUCAGGAGCUGUACUCAACUCUUGAAGGAAUUAAAACGGGUCUUAUUGAAGAUAAGAAAGGCUGGAUCAUUGAGAUCUAAUAGGGCCUCUUUCCAUCCUCAAAUGCAUUGAGCGAAUACAAAGAACAAGAGCCAUAUGAACUUUUAGAACAUUGUUCAUAGCUGUAUAUUUCAUCAAAAAAGGCAAUGAUAAAAAAAAAAAUAUGGAUUUUGGAACAGUGUUCAUAGCUUCCUUCUAUAAUGAUGGAAAUGUAACCAAUUCCAAAUGCCAAAUAAUUUGCCAAUGUGACUAUAUGGCCUUAUUUAACUCCAAUAUCUCAAAACCUUUCAAAU
rnacentral:misc_RNA from 1 species